rnacentral:rRNA from 1 species
AUGCCCAAGUGCACCAUGGGAGGGAGGGCCGACGCCGGGGCCGACACCAUGGCGCACGAAGCAUCCAAGCCCCACGCGAAGCUGCACAUGGCGAAAUCAAUCCCCACCGGCGAGGGGUCCAGCCGGCAGCAGGGUGGCCUUGACGUUGUCGACCAUGUCCAGGCUCUUCAUUCGGUGCAGGUCGCACCUACGCCGGAGCAGGUGGCUCCUCCGCCGGAGCAGGUAACUCCUCUGCCACGCCAUAUGCCCCCUCUGCCGUAG